rnacentral:rRNA from 1 species
ACUCCUACGGGUGGCUGCAGUGGGGAAUAUUGGACAAUGGGCGAAAGCCUGAUCCAGCCAUGCCGCGUGUGUGAAGAAGGCCUUUUGGUUGUAAAGCACUUUAAGUGGGGAGGAAAAGCUUAUGGUUAAUACCCAUAAGCCCUGACGUUACCCACAGAAUAAGCACCGGCUAACUCUGUGCCAGCAGCCGCGGUAAUACAGAGGGUGCAAGCGUUAAUCGGAAUUACUGGGCGUAAAGCGCGCGUAGGUGGUUAUUUAAGUCAGAUGUGAAAGCCCCGGGCUUAACCUGGGAACUGCAUCUGAUACUGGAUAACUAGAGUAGGUGAGAGGGGAGUAGAAUUCCAGGUGUAGCGGUGAAAUGCGUAGAGAUCUGGAGGAAUACCGAUGGCGAAGGCAGCUCCCUGGCAUCAUACUGACACUGAGGUGCGAAAGCGUGGGUAGCAAACAGGAUUAGAUACCCUGGUAGUCCACGCCGUAAACGAUGUCUACCAGUCGUUGGGUCUUUUAAAGACUUAGUGACGCAGUUAACGCAAUAAGUAGACCGCCUGGGGAGUACGGCCGCAAGGUUAAAACUCAAAUGAAUUGACGGGGGCCCGCACAAGCGGUGGAGCAUGUGGUUUAAUUCGAUGCAACGCGAAGAACCUUACCUGGUCUUGACAUAGUGAGAAUCUUGCAGAGAUGCAAGAGUGCCUUCGGGAAUUCACAUACAGGUGAUGCAUGGGUGUCGUCAGCUCG